rnacentral:rRNA from 1 species
AUACGGAGGGUGCAAGCGUUAUUCGGAUUUAUUGGGCGUAAAGGGCGCGUAGGCGGUCUUGUAAGUCUGAUGUGAAAGCCCACGACUCAAUCGUGGAAGUGCAUUGGAUACUGCUAGACUAGAGUACUAGAGGGGAGAACGGAAUUCCUGGUGUAGAGGUGAAAUUCGUAGAUAUCAGGAGGAACAACUGUGGCGAAGGCGGUUCUCUGGACAGUAACUGACGCUGAGGCGCGAAAGCGUGGGUAGCAAACAGGAUUAGAAACCCCGGUAGUCC